GGCUUCGUGGUCGAGCGGUAAGAAUACUUGUCUCUCGCCCUAGAUUCCCGGGUUCGAUUCCUGGUCGAGGAUCU